AGAUGUACAAGAGACAUUAGAACAAACUAGUUAUCAUUUAUUAUGAGCUGUAUUUACGUCUUGGAAAAUCGUUUAUUGUACAGGUGCAGAAAUUUCUCAUUAACGUGUAGUUAUAUGAAGAGGUAAAGGUGUAUUCACUUGAAAGGUGUGUUUUUGGAGUGUCCAGGAAUUUCUUAAUUACGUGUAUUUGAAGAGAUAAAGCUAUAUUUAGAGGUAAGGUAACAAAAUGUCGUCUGCCUUGAGAUACGAUGACAUUGAAGAUGUAGUGGAUAUUUGUUUGUAUAAAAUUCUCACUGUGGUACCAGAGAAAUUAUUAUUCUAUGUUGCAUAAGCGUAUAUAUACAUAAAGACGAAUAGGAAUACAAAAUAAACGUUUUUUUUUUAUUACUAAUGACAGUGAUACUUUAAAAAAGUUUAAUCUAUGAAGAAGUAUGACGUAAGAUCAGUCUUGUAACAUCCCUGCAAAACAUAUCCUCAUCACUUUGUCUUGUACUUUCAUUUUCGAUACAAGACAUUAUGUUACAUCAUGUUACAUACUAAAAGUAUAUGUAAGAUUUCUACCAGAUCAUAUCAUAAUGAUGUAAUUAGACUCAUGUAACCAAUGAUUUAUAUCAACAAUAACAACAAAUUUAUUCAAUAUCCGCCAUGAA